GACGAACGCUGGCGGCGCGCCUAACACAUGCAAGUCGAACGAGCGAGAGAGAGCUUGCUUUCUCAAGCGAGUGGCGAACGGGUGAGUAACGCGUGAGGAACCUGCCUCAAAGAGGGGGACAACAGUUGGAAACGACUGCUAAUACCGCAUAAGCCCACAGCUCGGCAUCGAGCAGAGGGAAAAGGAGUGAUCCGCUUUGAGAUGGCCUCGCGUCCGAUUAGGUAGUUGGUGAGAUAACAGCCCACCAAGCCGACGAUCGGUAGCCGGACUGAGAGGUUGAUCGGCCACAUUGGGACUGAGACACGGCCCAG
rnacentral:rRNA from 1 species